GCUGUGUAAGAUUGAACUGAUGUUGUGUCAUGCACCAUUUAAGUCCCAAAUGGUCUGAGUCAGUAUAAAUUCCACACAAUUUCUUCCCGUAGGAUGAAUCUUUCGACCAUUGAAGAACCACGCUGUUUUCUUGUGCUUGCUGCAGCAGACCAUCCUUCUAAGUAAAACGAGGGCUGGGUUUUAACUGGCCGUAUUCCGUGGCAAAUGAUGAUCAGUUGAAAACCCUUUUGAGGAGGAAGAUCUGCAGGAGAUGGAAGAGUCAGCUAAGAAAAUGGAAACUGUUUGGUCAGUUCUUUGAUCAGGUUAUUGUGAAUGACGAUUUACAGGAGGCUUGCAUGCAGCUACUGUCCACUGUGCACCAAGCACAGGAUGAACCUCAGUGGGUCCCAUCCAGAUGGAUAUGCUCAGAAAAUCAGCUGUAAUUCUCAGGCCUAGGCAGUUUAAGAAAGAUUAUAGUUCAUGCUUUACUGCAACAAUAAUAAAUGCUGGGAUUGCUAGAGAGAAUAUAUCAUUUUUUUCAAGGAAUUUAGAGAGGAUUAGUCAAAAAGCUAUUGCAAAAUGUAGUAUUUGUCUGGUGUGGCAUUCUUAAGCAUUGUACAUUCAGUAACAUUAAUUCUGUACCAAAAAUUGCUUCAUUAUAGUAUAAGAAUAUAAUUUGUUAAGAAAAAUAAAAGAAUAUAUUUUGUUGCA